rnacentral:siRNA from 1 species
AACGUAGCGAAAUGCGAUACU